rnacentral:rRNA from 1 species
UGCAGUCGAACGGUGAACACGGAGCUUGCUCUGUGGGAUCAGUGGCGAACGGGUGAGUAACACGUGAGCAACCUGCCCCUGACUCUGGGAUAAGCGCUGGAAACGGCGUCUAAUACUGGAUAUGUGACGUGACCGCAUGGUCUGCGUCUGGAAAGAAUUUCGGUUGGGGAUGGGCUCGCGGCCUAUCAGCUUGUUGGUGAGGUAAUGGCUCACCAAGGCGUCGACGGGUAGCCGGCCUGAGAGGGUGACCGGCCACACUGGGACUGAGACACGGCCCAGACUCCUACGGGAGGCAGCAGUGGGGAAUAUUGCACAAUGGGCGCAAGCCUGAUGCAGCAACGCCGCGUGAGGGACGACGGCCUUCGGGUUGUAAACCUCUUUUAGCAGGGAAGAAGCGAAAGUGACGGUACCUGCAGAAAAAGCGCCGGCUAACUACGUGCCAGCAGCCGCGGUAAUACGUAGGGCGCAAGCGUUAUCCGGAAUUAUUGGGCGUAAAGAGCUCGUAGGCGGUUUGUCGCGUCUGCUGUGAAAUCCGGAGGCUCAACCUCCG